UGCCUCUCAAAGUCGCAGCUGGAGAGUUUUCAGUACUCUACCAGUCUCAGCAAUGGGAGGGAGAUUCGAACAGAGUCAUACCCAUUCCAUUCCUAGCUUGGGCAGUGGCUAGCGAGUGGAAAGCAAUCUGCUACGUGU